rnacentral:rRNA from 1 species
GACUCGUUCAUACUACAGUGGCCACACCAGAUCCCAUCAGAACUCUGAAGUUAAGCACUGUAAGGCUUGGCUAGUACUGAGGUGGGAGACCGCUCGGGAACACCAGGUGAUGAGUCAUU